GAUGAACGCUGGCGGCGUGCCUAAUACAUGCAAGUCGAGCGAACAGAUGAGGAGCUUGCUCCUCUGACGUUAGCGGCGGACGGGUGAGUAACACGUGGAUAACCUACCUAUAAGACUGGGAUAACUUCGGGAAACCGGAGCUAAUACCGGAUAAUAUAUUGAACCGCAUGGUUCAAUAGUGAAAGACGGUUUUGCUGUCACUUAUAGAUGGAUCCGCGCCGCAUUAGCUAGUUGGUAAGGUAACGGCUUACCAAGGCAACGAUGCGUAGCCGACCUGAGAGGGUGAUCGGCCACACUGGAACUGAGACACGGACCAGACGACUACGGGAGGCAGCAGUAGGGAAUCUUCCGCAAUGGGCGAAAGCCUGACGGAGCAACGCCGCGUGAGUGAUGAAGGUCUUCGGAUCGUAAAACUCUGUUAUUAGGGAAGAACAAAUGUGUAAGUAACUAUGCACGUCUUGACGGUACCUAAUCAGAAAGCCACGGCUAACUACGUG
rnacentral:rRNA from 1 species